UAAAUGGAAGGGAAGAGAAAGUAGCCCAGACCGUGGCUGUCCAAUGCCCUGUGUGAACUCUUGAAUACAAACUGGACUUGCUUCUCCCUACUUGGGUGGCUACACUGACAGAGAGACAUUAUGGCGGACAUUAGUCUGCCGACCCAUUAAGCCCUUGUGUUCUUAUCCUCCAGAGCUGUGGAGUGUGACAAUGGUGUUUGUGUCCACUGUUAUCAAACGCCAUUAUCACACUAAAUAGCUAUGGUGAGAAGCUUCCCCUCACCCAGGGACCCCAUGUCGUGGGAAGAUGGUACACCAAAUGGAGCCAUGCAGUUCACCCUAAUUGCUCUUAUCCGGACGGUUACAACACAUGGCUCCUUCUCUAGCCCCUGUCUAUAUGUUCUAAAACACUGAUUGCAGGUUACCACCAGACAGGAAUAUACAGAGAUAUGUAAAGGGUUUUGCAGAGGAAACCAUUUAAUUUUGCGAACAUGUUAUCUCUGUUUUUUUCUUUUGCAGGAAAGUGAUCACAUAAUAACAGAACAUUAAUGGCACAUUUACCACAGGGCAUGUGAGGUGAAUGUGUGUGACAGGUGUGUACCGAUAGGCACCUGUGGAUUUUAAUAAAAAUGUGUUCCUCCGUUCCCCAGUGCCAAGUGAACUGCACAGUGUCGCACAUGCUGACCUGCAAUCAUGCAAGUCACCAGUGAACAGAGCCGUGGGUGGCGGGCUCACAUUUCACGACCUGACAGCGUAAAGGUCAAAGGUCACUCUUGGUUUAUGUGCCACAUAUCAAUAAAGCACCAUGAAACAAUAAAAAUA